rnacentral:tRNA from 1 species
AAAUAGAAAGCAAAUAAUUGCAAUCAAUUUCGACCUGAUUUACUGGUAUAAUAUUACCUCUAUUUA